CCCUUAGAUGUUCUGGGCCGCACGCGUGCUACACUGAGUGGAUCAGCGGGUCAGGUUGCGCGAAAGUGUUUCCUAAUCUUUAAAUCCGCUCGUGAUGGGGAUUGACGGUUGCAAUUUUCCGUCAUGAACGAGGAAUACCUUGUAAGCGCGGGUCAUCAUCCCGCGCUGAAUACGUCCCUGCCCUUUGUACACACCGCCCGUCGCUCCUACCGAUUGAGUGGUCCGGUGAGGCUUUGGGAUCUGGGCGGAAAGAGCGUUUCGCUGUUUCUGCCCGGAAAACCCAGUCGAACCUUAUCAUUUAGAGGAAGGAGAAGUCGUAACA
rnacentral:rRNA from 1 species